AACUCUCAACAAUGGAUAUCUUGGCUCUCGCAUCGAUGAAGAACGCAGCGAAAUGCGAUACGUAAUGUGAAUUGCAGAAUUGCAGAAUUCCGCGAAUCAUCGAAUUUUUGAACGCACAUUGCGCCCGAGGCUUCGGCCAAGGGCACGUCUGCUUGAGCGCC
rnacentral:rRNA from 1 species